AUUGAACGCUGGCGGCAGGCCUAACACAUGCAAGUCGAGCGGAUGAAGGGAGCUUGCUCCUGGAUUCAGCGGCGGACGGGUGAGUAAUGCCUAGGAAUCUGCCUGGUCGUGGGGGAUAACGUCCGGAAACGGGCGCUAAUACCGCAUACGUCCUGAGGGAGAAAGUGGGGGAUCUUCGGACCUCACGCUAUCAGAUGAGCCUAGGUCGGAUUAGCUAGUUGGUGGGGUAAAGGCCUACCAAGGCGACGAUCCGUAACUGGUCUGAGAGGAUGAUCAGUCACACUGGAACUGAGACACGGUCCAGACUCCUACGGGAGGCAGCAGUGGGGAAUAUUGGACAAUGGGCGAAAGCCUGAUCCAGCCAUGCCGCGUGUGUGAAGAAGGUCUUCGGAUUGUAAAGCACUUUAAGUUGGGAGGAAGGGCGGUAAGUUAAUACCUUGCUGUUUUGACGUUACCAACAGAAUAAGCACCGGCUAACUUCGUG
rnacentral:rRNA from 1 species